rnacentral:ncRNA from 3 species
GCUGUGAUGGCCGAGUGG